UAACUGUGUGGUUCCAGCUCACUUCAGUUUCCCCCUGCAGAAGGUCAGCUUGGUAAAGACGGAGUUUGGACAGCGACAGUGAAGUAAAAUGAAGAGGCGCUUAUUUACUGUUCGUACUGUUAACAUCAUGAUUUACUAUGUGCUAAUGUCUGCCAGCUGAGUGCACCUGCAGCCCCACCAGAUGCUUCUUUAACAACUUCACCAUCCUUGAAAUGUGUUUAGCAAGAUGCUAUUAUUGCAGCCUUACUCUUGGUGUUGGGUCUGGUAAAAAUUGACUGAUGUGCUACUAACUGACCCUUCAGUUCUUGACGUUUUGGGAACAUAGAGCCGUUUUAGCUGGGAAAUCAGUCUGAUGAUCAAUGACGGACGAAAAACGGACGAAAACCAAGGCAAGACAAAGAAUGAAAUAGACAAGACUGGUCGAAAAUAAUCAGACACAGCUGGGCAAGAUCGGGGAAGCACACAUGGAUAAUCAGGGGGCGUGGCACACACGAGGAUAAUCAGGGGGCGUGGCACACACGAGGAUAAUCAGGGGGCGUGGCACACACGAGGAUAAUCAGGGGGCGUGGCACACACGAGGAUAAUCAGGGGGCGUGGCACACACGAGGAUCGGACGAGCCGGGCAUGACAAUAUUAAUCCAUGCUUUGAAUCUGACAAAUUAAUCAAAUGAUUGACUAAAGCUUGAUGCACACAUUGCAAAAGCAUUUAUUCUGUUGCUCACGGAAGAAAGUAAGACAUUGAUGACCACCUGUGCACUUCCAAGCACAAAAUAUGGAUCAGGGCUGUGAGUGGAACCAGCUGAGUAUUGCAUUUGGCACUCUGAUUCCUGGUGAUAGGGAGCUAAAAUGGGCCACUCGAGGGCACCUUAGCUCACCGUACUGCGAAACAUGUGGGAUAAUUAGGACAUUCUGUGACAAGCUUUCCAUAUCUUAGUGUCUUAUUACCAAUGGUUUUUGCACAAUCGACUGACAAUGUUCAGUGAGUGCAUCGAGGUGCUUGAGAAACAGAAGUCCACCAUAGUUUACUUAGUAUUCCCCUUGAACAGCCUGCAGGAGAAGCUGAUUGAGAGGACCACAUGCUUCACUGGACUGAAGGACAACUUGCAUCAGGAAGGAUGUAGAGGAGAAGUUGCCAGAGUGCAUGAACUCCAGCGGACCACUGGGUGGAUAUAUUCACCACUAUCAGUCAGAAGCACAUCAUCCACAGAAAGAUGUCUUUUCUCAUUCAGUUUGCAGUGAGCUUUCCAGGCACCAGUGCAUCUGUGGGGAGGAUCUUCUCCAUAAUGAACAGUACUUGGAUGGAUGAGCAAAUCCAUAGAACCUUGCUCGCCACAAGUCAGAACCUGGACCACACUUUUACGGACUUGUAUAAGGAGAUCCUACCAAAGAAAAUGCUUUUGAGGAGCAUCCAUUCUUCAGUGAAUUUCAUAUGAACAUGUGAACCUUACAGUAUGAUAUAACUCCAUGCAUAUAAUAGUGAAUUAACAUUUAAUAUUGACCUUAGGAAACAAAGAAAAUGCACUGAAUUUGUCGAGAAAGCAACAGUGAAUAUUUGUACACUAUUGAAUAGCCUGAGUUUGUCCAUAGUCAGUAUUUAUACAAUGCACAUACAUUUCUUUCUUAAGUUUCUUAAAGCAUCAACGGUGAAUGUUAAUGCACUACUAAUUGCACUGAGAUGUUUAAAGGAAGUUCAAUUUAAAAAAUGUACAGUGAUUUGAUGUAGAAUAUGUGUUUAUUUGUGUAAGUGAUUAUUCCCCUGGGGGCGGCAUGGUGGUGCAGUGGUUAGCACUGUUGCCUCACACCUCUGGGACCUGGGUUCGAAUCUCCGCCUGGGUCACAUGUGUGUGGAGUUUGCAUGUUCUCUCCAUGUCAUCGUGGGGUUUCCUCCGGGUACUCCGGUUUCCCCCCACAGUCCAAAAACAUGCUGAGGCUGAUUGGAGUUACUAAAUUGCCCGUAGGUAUGCAUGUGUGAGUGCAUGGUGUGUGAGUGUGCCCUGUGAUGGGCUGGCCCCCCAUCCUGGGUUGUUCCCUGCCUCGUGCCCAUUGAUUCCGGGAUAGGCUCCGGACCCCCCGCGACCCAAUAGGAUAAGCGGUUUAGGAAAUGGAUGGAUGGAUGGAUGGAUUAUUCCCCUGAUCCCUUUCUGAUAAUGAUGAUGAUGAUGAUGAGGAGGAUGAUGAGACAAAGUGGUCAUUAACUGACUGAGGAAGGGCGCUAUGUGUGUGCAUGAGAUCACACAUGUACACACACGAGCUACACAAGUGUCCCGUUUUGGUGCUUUGAAAAUGUGGUCACUCUAGUUAAAUACUUAACUUGUCACAUCCCUACAUACAUUAAAUUAUUUGAUGAGAACUGGAGAGUUUGACUAGCCUCUGAACCUCCAUCCUCUCAACCAGCGCAAGCAGGAUCGUUAGUUUUGUUAUUGCUUGGUGAAGGUUUUUUUUUAAUGUCAAGAGUAACUAUUAUGAAAUAGUAAACCUGAAAGAGAUUGUUCCUGAGGUAAUGUACUCUAUGCCUUAAGAGAGACUCCAGCUGGAAUACACUUAAUCUAAUGAAUGCGGCAAAGGUAAUAUACAAUUUCAGAGUAAUGUAAUACAUAGUCUUACUCUCCAGCUAAUAGGCCAGUGAAAAUUGAGGAAUGUCCAGUUCAGUGUUUUUUAUGACUUUUUUCCUGAAGAUCAUAAAAGUAACAAAUGAACUUUUUACUCAAAAUA